UAAUACGAAGGGGGCUAGCGUUGCUCGGAAUCACUGGGCGUAAAGCGCACGUAGGCGGACUCUUAAGUCAGGGGUGAAAUCCUGGAGCUCAACUCCAGAACUGCCUUUGAUACUGGGAGUCUUGAGUUCGGGAGAGGUGAGUGGAACUGCGAGUGUAGAGGUGAAAUUCGUAGAUAUUGG
rnacentral:rRNA from 1 species